GAUGAAGAACGCGGCGAAAUGCGAUAAGUAAUGUGAAUUGCAGAAUUCAGUGAAUCAUCGAAUCUUUGAACGCACAUUGCGCCCGCCAGUAUUCUGGCGGGCAUGCCUGUUCGAGCGUCAUUUCAACCAUCAAGCCCCCGGCUUGUGUUGGGGACCUGCGGCUGCCGCAGGCCCUGAAAAGCAGUGGCGGGCUCGCUGUCACACCGAGCGUAGUAGCAUACAUCUCGCUCUGGGCGUGCUGCGGGUUCCGGCCGUUAAACCACCUUCAUAACCCAAGGUUGACCUCGGAUCAGGUAGGAAGACCCGCUGAACUUAAGCAUAUCAAUAAGCGGAGGA
rnacentral:misc_RNA from 1 species